rnacentral:rRNA from 1 species
GACGAACGCUGGCGGCGUGCUUAACACAUGCAAGUCGAACGGAAAGGCCCUGCUUUUGUGGGGUGCUCGAGUGGCGAACGGGUGGGUAACACGUGAGUAACCUGCCCUUGACUUUGGGAUAACUUCAGGAAACUGGGGCUAAUACCGGAUAGGAGCUCCUGCUGCAUGGUGGGGGUUGGAAAGUUUCGGCGGUUGGGGAUGGACUCGCGGCUUAUCAGCUUGUUGGUGGGGUAGUGGCUUACCAAGGCUUUGACGGGUAGCCGGCCUGAGAGGGUGACCGGCCACAUUGGGACUGAGAUACGGCCCAGACUCCUACGGGAGGCAGCAGUGGGGAAUAUUGCACAAUGGGCGGAAGCCUGAUGCAGCAACGCCGCGUGCGGAAUGACGGCCUUCGGGUUGUAAACCGCUUUCGCCUGUGACGAAGCGUGAGUGACGGUAAUGGGUAAAGAAGCACCGGCUAACUACGUG